UAGGAUUGCCAGAUUUAACUAAUAAAAAUACAAGUUGCCUAGUUACAUUUGAAUUUCCAAUAAACAACAAACAAUAUUUUUAGUGUAACUAUGUCCCAAACAUUACUUAUGCUAAACAAAUUAUUCAUUGUUUAUCAGAAAUUCAAAUUUGACUGAAUGUCCUGUGUUUUAUCUGGCAGCCCUACAUGAAAAGCUAAAUUCCCACACCCUGUCUUCCUGCGUUCAGCCCCACAAUUCUUCUUAGAGAUUUUUAUGAACUAUGCAAUAUCAUCUUUACAAUAUAAAUAAGCAACCCAAAUCUCCCAACUCUGCUUACUACAGGGUUUUUUUACACACAUCUAAACACUUUGCUUUCUUCUAAAAUUCUUUUAUUAUAUUUUAGCCAUCAGAGUUACAUUCUAAUUUAUACUAAUUUAGCCUCUUAGCCACUUAACAGAAUUGGAUCUAAGAGGGAAAAUCCAGGUGACUCUUUCCAUCUGAAUUCCCUGUAUAUUUUCUUUCUGUCUCAAUUCUGCAGUAGUCUUAGGUAAGAGGAGAUUAUCUCCCGGCACGGUAGGUGGUAGAGCCAUUCUAGAAACCCCGCAGAGACUGGGGCUGUAAAAUGCCACUUCCCUUCUGAGGAAGUGGGGGAGCCACACUGUCCAGCACUGGCACCUGCACUGGCCAAUUCAGCAGCCAUUAAGUAUUAGAACAGACUAUGCUUUCUACAACAAGACUAUUUUAAAAGUUAGAAACACCGUCUUAUCUGAAAGCGGGGAUUUUCAGAUUUCAAUUUCUUAACACUGGUAAAUAUCUCAUAAGCCAAAAAUGCAGGCACCAACUUCAGCUGCACAUAUCUUUGUUGCAAAGGCACAGUUCCCGUUCCAUUAAAUCACAUUCCCUUGCAGCUUCAAAGUGGAUGAGAACUCUACACGACACAGCUUUUUGUUACAUGUAAUUAGUUUUCCCUGUGGUCCUAGAAAGUAAGAUAAUGUCACAAGUGUCGUCCCUUUUCUGCCGUCCAAACCUGAAAAUCACAAGCUAAACACCAUCGUGUGUAAACUUAUACAAAACAUUUGCUUAGUACUCAUGUCAUGGCUCUGCUUUCUGAAAAACACAAAAGGGGCCGUCAAAAAUUACUGAGAAGUGGUGACUGGAAUGUGAGAAUUUACAGUGGGAAAAAAAAAAGAGGACAUACUAAAGGCAGUUGGAGUGGAAAUGUAAUGUGACAUAAUAAUAUAGACGACAAGCACGGGGAAAAUGGCUCAGUCCGGAGUGGAAAAUCAAUUUGCCAGGGCCAUGAUAAGACUGGAACAUCACUUCCAUAUUUCCUGAGAAUCCAUUCUGAUACCCACAGUAGUGUCUGCAGCCAGAGCCUGAGAACCGUGGAUGGGUAUGCCUGAUGGCAGUUUACAACGGAAAAGACAGCUAUCACCCAGCAAACCAUCAGAGGAGGAACAGAGCGAAGGAUGAUCUUUUAUGUUUUGAAAUGGACCGAAGAGACAUUUAAUGUGUCAAGAGCUUCACUUCGAGAAGACCAAUAUUUCUAUUUCAUCCACUUGUUUCCAGGAUGGCUUCUAGUAAAUAUUGCUUGCAGAUGCUGAGUGAACGUGCGUGCUGCACCAGAUCAUGAGGACGUGGAAGAAGUGCCGCACGGACAACUGGCUCUGAUGUUCUUGUGAGUUCAGUCUUCGCUCUUCCGUCCUCCCUCUUGGUUGCACAGCCCUGGAGAUGCCUGACAGGGAGCACCUCUCUCCUCCUCUGACCUCCUACACCUCAAACGCCUACCUUAACUUCUUGAACAAAAGGCUCAGGUUGCUUAUGGCCUCGGUGCCUUAGCAUGUCCUGAUAACCUCAACCUGGACCACCUUCCUGCACCGUGUCUGCUUGCUUGGCUCAACUAGCGAGCUCCUUCUGGAAUCCUUCUUUGACCCGCCUCCCUUCUCCCUCAGUUGCAUCUGGUUUGGUCUCCCCUGGGCUCCCAGACCAUUCGGUAAUUGCCCCUAUUACAGCACGCCCAUAGAUAGGUGUGUGUAGUCAUCUUUAAUGUACUAGUGCAUAAACUUGAAAGCAAAGAUCUUUUUUUUUAAUCUUUGUAUUCCCAGCACCUCACAGCAGGGUGCUUAAAUGAGUGGCUCUGACAUCUCAAACUGGUGACCCACAGGCCUAAUCCAGCCCGCCAGACUGUUUUGUUUGGCUCUUUUUAAAAUUUAUUUUUAGAAGUUUCAGGUCACAUUUUCAAAUCUGGUUUUACAUACAAAGCAAGGUCUUUGACUUCUCUUGAAGAAUAAGAUAUGGCCACCCUGCGCCUAUUUCUACAUGGUAGCAGGUACCUGGUGCAGACAUGGGCCACUUGAGAUGGGACACGAGCUCUCCACUUCAUCACAGCCUGGCCACUCCCUAGCGCCUCCCCAUUGAGGCUAAGUAUGAGGUGUCAUUUAUCCUGCGUGUGCGCUGACAUUUUUCUUGGAGUGACAUAUUUCUCAGUACCAAAGGAGAGAAGAUGACUAAAAUAUCUUUCAAGAAUAAUGGGAGAGAGCUCCUUUCUUGGCAGGAAUGAAGAAUUGCCUCUGUGUUUAUUAGGCACAUGAAAUGUGUCUGUCUCCCCCUGCUUUGCUUGUUCACGUUAUCUUCCUGGAAGAUAGAGCUAUUUGAGGUUUUGGCCCUUUGAGUAGAGACUCAAAAGCUGUUUGAGGAAGGGAGGACGGAAGGAAGGAAAGAAAAACAAGUUCAGCAAAUGGUUAAGAUACCAAACUUUUUAAUCUGACUACUUAAACGACUUCACAUAUUACCACCUUUAGCCAAUCCUUCCAUUUCACCCUGAACAUCUCUUGUAACGUGUGCUGCGUUUUGGUUUGGUGUGUACAUGAUACUCAGGUUCCUAUAGCAACUACCUUAUCAAAAUCCAGUGAGAUAAGGUCAUAAAUAUGCCCUUUGUCCUUAGUGACUCCACUGGCAUAGAAUGCACACAACAAAGUUCACUUCAUGCAGGCAGUUUUCCAGAGGAUUAUCCACACCUUAUAGAUGAUAGACAAUGUUCCAUGGGUAAAACUGAGAACUAUUUUGUAAAACUUAGAAACAAGAGGAGAUUCUUAGUCCUGUUGCUAUCAAUGCUUACAUAUAAAAAUGAGCGUCUUGGGCUGGCCUGGUGGCGCAGCGGUAAAGUUUGCACCUUUGGCUUUGGCGACCCGGGGUUCACCGGUUCGGAUCCUGGGUGCAGACCUACACACUGCCUGUCAAGCCAUGCUGUGGCAGGCAUCCCACAUAUAAAGUAGAGGAAGAUGGGCAUGGAUGUUAGCUCAGGGCCAGUCUUCCUCAGCAAAAAGAAGAGAAUUGGUGGCAGAUAUUAGCUCAAGGCUAAACUCCCUCAAAAAAGAUGAACGUCUAAAUAAAUACUAUCUUUCCUCUUUAAAUACCAGUGAGAUAAGAAAUACUGAUGCACGUACAGAGUAAGGAUAUUGAUGUUCUGUAUCACAUAAAAUCAACCAAGAUAAUAAAAACAUGUUAAA